rnacentral:rRNA from 1 species
AUUGAACGCUGGCGGCAGGCCUAACACAUGCAAGUCGAGCGGAUGAAGGGAGCUUGCUCCUGGAUUCAGCGGCGGACGGGUGAGUAAUGCCUAGGAAUCUGCCUGGUAGUGGGGGAUAACGUCCGGAAACGGGCGCUAAUACCGCAUACGUCCUGAGGGAGAAAGUGGGGGAUCUUCGGACCUCACGCUAUCAGAUGAGCCUAGGUCGGAUUAGCUAGUUGGUGGGGUAAAGGCCUACCAAGGCGACGAUCCGUAACUGGUCUGAGAGGAUGAUCAGUCACACGGGAACUGAGACACGGUCCAGACUCCUACGGGAGGCGGCAGUGGGGAAUAUUGGACAAUGGGCGAAAGCAUGGUCCAGCCAGGCCGCGUGUGUGAAGAAGGUCUUCGGAUUGUAAAGCACUUUAAGUUGGGAGGAAGGGCAGUAAGUUAAUACCUUGUUGUUUUGACGUUACCAACAGAAUAAGCACCGGCUAACUUCGUG